GAAAGAGAGAGAGAUGGUCUCAAGAAAAAAGUUUUGAAAGCAGAGAUCUGGCGGGGCCUCCACGCUGGCGGACCUCAGGAUAUUCUUUAUGUGGAAACUUGACAAAUUUCAAGGAUUAGAGAAUUCUGGGUGUAAUGUGUCUGCAGCCUUCCUGGGCCAGAGUUCAAAACAUGCGCUCUUUUCUUGCCAUCCCCCCCCUGACCUGGGCAGCUCCUACUCAUCCUUCGGUGCUCAUUGUUCUUUGAGGACUUCCCUGCCAUGCGUUCCUGACACCCCUUCACGACUGCCUUGGAAUUGACCGUGGUUUGCUCAGCGUCUGUCUUCAGCACAGUAUUAUCUAAGAACCCCAUGGCAGAAAGAGAAGACAAAUACCAUAUGAUAUCACUUAUACGCGGGAUCUGAAACAUAGCACAAAUGAUCCUACCUAUAAAGCAGAAAGAGAUCACAGACAUGGAGAGCAGAC
ensembl:lncRNA